rnacentral:rRNA from 1 species
GACGAACGCUGGCGGCGUGCCUAAUACAUGCAAGUAGGACGAGUUGCGAACGGGUGAGUAACGCGUAGGAACCUGCCUAUUAGAGGGGGAUAACUAUUGGAAACGAUAGCUAAUACCGCAUAUUAUUCGAGCGGCCGAUAACUGAUUAGCUAGUUGGUGGGGUAAAGGCCUACCAAGGCGACGAUCAGUAGCGGGUCUGAGAGGACGAUCCGCCACACUGGGACUGAGACACGGCCCAGACUCCUACGGGAGGCAGCAGUGGGGAAUUUUGGACAAUGGGGGCAACCCUGAUCCAGCCAUGCCGCGUGUAUGAAGAAGGCCUUAGGGUUGUAAAGUACUUUCAGCGGGGAGGCGUUACCCGCAGAAGAAGCACCGGCUAACUCCGUGCCAGCAGCCGCGGUAAUAC